GCAACUUGACUCGACCGGAAGUUAUCCGGAUUCAGACUAUAUUAGUUUAAGCUCAAAUCAUAACUAUAGUCAAGGGCAUAUUCAUCCAUUCAGAGACCCUAAGUAUCAUUAUAAUACUCAUAAUAUAAACUCGUUAAAACCGCCGGUUCAUAAUACCGGAUAUUAUAAUCAAGGAUAUGGAAAUUAUUCAACGUAUCGAAGCAAUAGCACGAGAGACGAUGACGAAACGACGACUACGUCAGGAAGUUAUACAAUAAAUCAUGACGAUCUUGAUGAUGACCUUGCUGCAGCGCAGUUUCAAGUGUCGCAAGUCGUGUGAUCACAUGACGUAAAGUGUGCUGAAUAUGCAUUUGUUUUUACCUCAAAGUGCCAAAUUUACUUUGUUAACCUUGAAACACUUCCCGUGUUCAAACUAAACUGAUGUCAAAUAUACAGUUCAUUGUGUAACCAUGUUAACGUUAACAAAAAAUUAUAAUCAUAGAAUGCUCUCAGUAAAAAUGGCUUUAAAAGUGUUGAAAUAUUAAUAUCAAACCAGGACUAAAGGAAAUUUGUAUCAUAUGUGUUUCUCCAAGAAUGAAAGAUAUGAAAUGCCAUGGUGGAAAAAAAGCCUUGAAUUUGAUUAUCAAGGAUGUUAAAUGGAUUUGAAUGCAGGGACACACUGGUUGGCAGUUAAGAAAUGUAUAUCAAUGUCCUGCAAAACACACUUUGAAGGAAAAGCUCCAGAUGUAAAGAGAAGACUCCAGAUGCAAGAAUGUAUUACAAACAGUUAUGGGCUAGAUAUUCAUGGUUUAACUAUAUACACUAUGACCAUAGAUUUAUCUUUGUAAUUUCGCAUACUGUGGAAUUUUUGUAAUGAAAUCUUACCAUGAAAUUUGCAUUGUAAGGCAUACCAUGGCAUUGUGUCUUGGUAUGUAAUAGCCAAGUUAUUACUGCAAAAGAAAAACAGGGAUUUUGCUGGAUUAACAAAAAGCAUAUUAAACAAGAUAAAAAAAAUGAAAUAAAUUUACUAUUUUUCAUACCUUCAUUUGUUAAAACUAAUACUUUCAUCUGGAGGCAUGCAGCUUUAGGGGAUGAUUUGUUAUUGUUAAAUGAUCUCAGACUAAAAGUUUAUAUUAAUUUUGUUGCAUAUUGGCUGCCUGCUUAUUGCACUCAUUGGUGAAAUACUGAUCGUCAUUAAUUUCUAUUUUUUAUAUUUUCCUGUAAGCUGUCUUUUUAGCAUAAUCAGUAGAUCAUGUGUUCAAUAUUUUUAACCAAUCAAAAUUCAUGUUACAUGUUUGGGUACCAGGUGCUUUUCUGUAUGAUGUAGAAACAAAGGUUUUGAUUAGUUGAUUCCUUUAAUGUUAAAUGUGAUACUGUUGUCUUGUAUUGUGAAAUUAAAAAAUCAUGUGACCAUAUGGUUAUAUUGUAAUGAAAAUUGAUAUUUUAUUCAGAUUUAUUUAGGUCUUUAUUCAGGUUUUUAUGAAGUUAAAUGAAGGGGCAAAAAUGUAUUUUAGACAAUACAUAAAAUUGAAAUCUUUGAAAGAAAAGCUUAUUUUUAUCUGGCAAUUAGAGCAGUAUGGAAUGUAAACCAUUUUUCGAUGAUUUCUACAAAUAUUGUUCAUUUCCAAAUACCUGAUUUAAUUCUGCUGUGAAGAAAAUGAUUUUCAUAGAAUAAUUACUGAUUUAAAAUAUGGUUAUUAAUAUUUACAAAAAUAUUAUUUUCCUCUGAAAUCAUAUUGAUUUCCAUUGAACCUAAUUUUUUUCCACUAAGAUUAUUGAUUUCCUUUAAACAUAAUUUUUUCCACUAAAAUUAUUGAUUUCCAUUGAAUAUUAUUGAUUUUCUGCUGAAAUUAUUGAUUUAAUGAAAUAGUUAUUAAUAUUUAUUAAAAUAUUAUUUUCCACUGAAAUCUUAUUGAUUUUUGUUGAAUAUUAUUGAUUUUCCACUGAAAUUAUUGAUUUAUAUUAAUAUUUACUAAAAUAUUAUUUUCCACUGAAAUCUUGUUGAUUUCUACUGAAACAUAAUUGAUUUCCACUGAAAAAAAAUUGCAUUUUACUGAAAAAUUAUUGAUUUCUGGGAGAAAAAAAAUCUUUGAUUUUUACUCAAAUAUUAUUGAUUUCUACUUAAAAGUUAUUUUUAUUAAACAUCCACUGGAUUUGUAGAAAUAUUUUACCAAUCAGUGCUAACUAUUGCUUAAUUUAAGCUAUUUUUGUACAUAUGUCAUUCAUUAUACAUGUAUUUUUUUUAACAAAAAUAACAUGUUUACAGAGUAAAUACAAGUGUUGUUAUGUAUAUGACAAAACCAAUCCUGUCCUUAAAAUUAAUGAUUAAAUAGAAAUGUUUGAAUCAUAUUUGGAUAUUAUAUUUUAAAGAUUUUCUUUCUCUUUUUUCAAUGAAUAUUUCUAAUAUUCCGUUACAUUCCUUUGUUUGAAACGUUUUCCUUGUUAUAAGAUAUAUUUGUACAUAAUAUUUGUUAUAUGUGAUAAAAUAUUGAAAAAAUGAGAUAAUCUUAAAAAAGAAUAAAAUGAAGAAAAAUGAA